rnacentral:lncRNA from 1 species
AUGCCGCACAGGGGCUGUUGGAGAAAUGGGGUGUCCGACAUAGGAAGUGAUAGAGCCCCAACACCUCCCUGGCCUUCUGGACAAAUGAGAGAGCAAGGCUGGGGGACCCUCAGGGCAGGCUUCCCAGGGGAGGUGGGCCGGGGAGGGGGGCAGAGUCCACUGGGGGUGGGCGUGGGAGGUGCAGCCAGCUACCCCCCCCCUCCAAGGCCAUCCCCAGGUGAGCUCAGCCAAGCCACUGGCUCUGUCAUGCCUUUUAAGGCAAUGGUGGCUCCCGCCACCUCCUUGUUCCCACUUGCUCAGAAAUUCCCAGCAGGUAUUUUUUCUUUUUCUUUUCUUUUUUUUUUUUUUUUCAUGAGGAUUGGAAUGAGACUCCUUGUUCUGUCACCGCAGGAUUCCAGGGAGGCCUGUCUGAGGGUUCUGGUGACAGGAAGCGCACAGCGACAGGCAGUCAGAGAAGCACCCUCAGUGACAUGUGCAGGCACAGAUCGCGGGAGGCAGAGAUGGCUGCCCCACCCACCAGGGGCCCACAGCAAUGCCUGGGGACCCCGAGACGCAGGGAACGUUUACUGAGCACCUACCAUAUCCCACGCCUGUGGGGUCCCGCCUUCACAGACCCACCUCCUUUGGGAGUUCAGAUCGGAGCAUGGAAGCCCCCUCCAUCUCAGGGCCUUUAUACCUGCUGUUCUGCUCUGGGGGGGCGGGGAUCUCUCUGCAGGGGUCUCUCUGCAGCGCUUGCUGUGCAGCACUCGCUCACUCAGGCUGGAUCCUUUAUGCUCUCAGAGCAGCCUCCCCCAUGCCCAUCACUGUAGCCCAUUGGCCUGUUUUAGUUCCUCACAGCCUCCAUCACUUAUUAUUUUAUUUUAUUUUAUUUGACAGAGAGAGAGAGCUGGCACCGAGCAGGGAGGAGGAUCAGAAAGGUACAAGCAGACUCCCCACUGAGCAGCCUGACACAGGGCUCAAUCCCAGGAUCCCAGGAUCAUCACCUGAGCUGGAGGCAGAUUGAGCCACCCAGGCGCCCUGCACCCUCACUUCUGAAACUGUCUUGUUUAUUGGUGUUUGCUGUCUGCACACCCACCUGGAUCAGCUUCUGGAGAGAAGGUUGUUGUGUCUGCCCUGCUCCCUCAGGGCCUGGAGGAGGGCUGUGUCCGUAGUAGGUGCUCAGGAUUUCAGUGAGUGCCUCUGACCCCACACAUGGGUGGUUGGCCUUUCCCACUGCCCCCCAGGAAGCCCUAUUAUUUGUCCUAACAACCCCAGCUGUUCUGUGCAACCACUGAAGCGGUCUUGCUCACUUGGUCCCACUGUCAUCACUGAGGAGGAGAGUCCCCAGCCGAUGAGGCUGAGGCCUGGAACUGCUGUGGGAUGUGCUCAAGGUCACUCACCGGCCAGGGGCAGGCAGAGAUCAAGAGGAUGGGAAUGGGAGGGGAUGGCCAACAGCCAAGGGCUCAGCACCUAUCAGGUAAGCCUGUCCCUGAAAAGGGCUUUCUGUGUGUCACAUGUGCGGGGACACAGAGGGUGUGGUGACCCCCAUCACCUGGAGGUGUAUCUGUGAUGCCAGAUGCCUGUGUACACGUCCUCAGCCGCAGAGCACACAGAGUAUUCUUUCCGGGCCUUAGGGGCGAGCCUUUGUUCGCUGGACCCCACAUCCCAUCAUUCUGGCCAUGCCCACAACUGAGCAGAGCCCUGGACAGGGAG